rnacentral:siRNA from 1 species
AACAGAAGGAUCGCCAUUACGA